AAAUGUCCUUUAUAAGAAUUGCCUUGAGCCGGGCAUGGUGGCACACGCCUUUAAUUCUAGCACUCGGGAGGCAGAGGCAGGCGGAUUUCUGAGUUCGAGGCCAGCCUGGUCUACAGAGUGAGUUCCAGGGCAUCCAGGGCUACACAGACAAACCUUGUCUCGAAAAACCAAAACCAAAAAGAACAACAACAACAAAAAGAAUUAUUCUUUCUAAAGUCAGGCAUAGUGACACAUGCUGUAAUAGUUGUCUUUGGGAGGCAGAGCCAGGCGGAUCUCAGGUUUGCGGCUAGCCUGGUCUACAUAGUGAACUCCAGGCUAGUCACAUUACACUGGAAAAGCACAGGAUUAUUCUUUCUUGGAGUUCAGUAUAUGGAAAUGAAAUGAAACAUGUUGCAUCUUAUUGUAUGACUCAGUAUAUAGUGAAAGUUGCCCUGCCUUGAUAUUCAGCAGAUAAUAUCAGAACCAUUGCAGCUGAAUACAUCAGGGUUAUUACAGAAGUUCCAACUAUAAUCAUACACUUCAGAGACCCUUUUAAGGAAUCCCUUUUCCUGGAACAUUGUGAUGCAUUUCCUUCCCCUGGCUUACACACCUGGGUUGUUUGUUUGUUUGCUUUGUUUCUCUCUGGGUUCUUAGCUGAUCCGGAUCGUCCAUUUCCAUGCUGACCAGAUACAGACCUGUUAGUCGAAUUUCCUUCUUUGCAGACUCUCUUGCAGCUAGAGGUAGAUAGCCAUGUGAGGGGAAUCUGGGAAAGAAGUAUCAAGAAACCGAAAACAGUUUGGCUCUUCCUGCCUAGGUGUGAUGUGAGAAGACAGGACUUGAACCUGUAGCCAUUGUGAGGAAAUGCAUUGAGCUGCAGAGACGGUGUCCCAGUUCCAUGGUGUUGAGCUGCUAACCUUGAGAAUCUUGGGCUCACAACCUCCCAGUUCCUUUGAGCAGGGCUACACAGAG
rnacentral:lncRNA from 1 species